rnacentral:lncRNA from 1 species
CGGAAAUUAUGGGCAUUCUGUCGAAGACUUCUGGGGAAGUAGAAAACACAUGAAUCUUACUAUUCAAUCACCCACUUCCCACACGCAACAAUAGCUCAUGGGUACCACAGAUAACUUUGCCAAAGUUCUCUGCCAACCAAAGUUGAGCACGUGAAGCUUGCAGCUCCCACUACAUCGCUCUGACCAAGAAGGGUAAAAGAAUAGCAAAGAAACAUCACUAACAAAGUUUAGACCCAUAAAUUUUGAAGGUCUAGCUACCAUAUUAUUACCCAUAAGGGUAAAGGAACAGUACCAUUGCUGGAUAAUUGGAAAGUCCCUGUGUGUCAACCUCUGUGCUUCGUGGCAAGGUAGACUAGCAAACAUGCCCAACCUUUACUCUCACAUUCGAGAGAAAACACUCCCAAUAAGAUUGCUUGCUCCAAAAUCGAAGAGGCAACCGUCCUCCGAAUCUCGAGAGCCAGACUCCCAACAUGACUACUUUCUUAAAAAUCGAAGAGAGGGUAAAGGAACAGUACCAUUGCUGGAUAAUUGGAAAAGUCCCUGUGUGUGUCAACCUCUGUGCUUCGUGGCAAGGUAGACUAGCAAACAUGCCCAACCUUUACUCACAUUCGAGAAAACACUCCCAACAAGAUUGCUUGCUCCAAAAUCGAAGAGGCACCGCCCUCCGAAUCUCGAGAGCUAGACUCCCAACAUGAUUACUUUCUCAAAAAUCAAAGAGACACUGCUCCCCGAAUCUUCGAGAGCGAGACCCCCAACAUGAUUGCUUUCUCAAAAAUCGAUGAGGCAUCGUUCUCCGAAUCAAUCGAAGAGGCGCUCGCUUUCUCAAAAGCUGGGCUGCUCAGAGACCACGAGGGCCGAUCUCAGAAAUCGAAGAGGCACCUACUAUUCUAGCCUUGUCAGCACCUGUCACACGCACACUCAGCUUUGCAGAAAUUAUGGGCAUUCUGUCGAAGACUUCUGGUGAAGUAGAAAGCACAUGAAUCUUACUGUUCAAUCACCCACUUCCCACACGCAACAAUAGCUCAUGGGUACCACAGAUAACUUUGCCAAAGUUCUCUGCCAAAGUUGAGCACGUGAAGCUUGCAGCUCCCAUUACAUCGCUCUGACCAAGAAAGGUAAAAGAAUAGCAAAGAAACAGCACUAACAAAGUUUGGACACAUAAAUUUUGAAGGUCUAGCUACCAUAUUAUUACCCACAAGGGUAAAGGAACAGUACCAUUGUUGGAUAAUUGGAAAGUUCAUGUGUGUCAACCUCUGUGCUUCGUGGCAAGGUAGACUAGCAAACAUGCCCAACCUUUACUCACAUUCGAGAAAACUCCCAACAAGAUUGCUUGCUCCAAAAUCGAAGAGGCACCGUCCUCCGAAUCUCGAGAGCCAGACUCCCAACAUGACUACUUUCUCAAAAGCGAAGAGAGGGUAAAGGAACAGUACCAUUGCUAGAUAAUUGGAAAGUCCCUGUGUGUCAACCUUUGUGCUUCGGGGCAAGGUAGACUAGCAAACAUGCCCAACCUUUACUCACAUUCGAGACAACACUCCCAACAGGAUUGCUUGCUCCAAAAUCGAAAAGGCACCGCCCUCCGAAUCUCGAGAGCCAGACUCCCAACAUGAUUACUUCCUCAAAAAUCGAAGAGACACUGCUCUCCGAAUCUCGAGAGCCAGACCCCCAGCAUGAUUGCUUUCUCAAAAAUCGAAGAGGCAUCGUUCUCCGAAUCUCGAGAGCCAGAUACCACAGACCACUUUUUCAAAGUGCU